rnacentral:rRNA from 1 species
GACGAACCGUGCGAACGUUGUUCGGAAUCACUGGGCUUAAAGGGCGCGUAGGCGGGUGGUCAAGUCAGGGGUGAAAUCUUUCAGCUCAACUGGAAAACAGCUUCUGAUACUGGCCGUCUUGAGGGGGGUAGGGGCAUGUGGAACUUCCGGUGGAGCGGUGAAAUGCGUAGAUAUCGGAAGGAACGCCGGUGGCGAAAGCGACGUGCUGGACCCUUUCUGACGCUGAGGCGCGAAAGCGUGGGUAGCAAACAGG